CAGAGCUUAUCAGCGGGGCGGCACAGUGUCUCCUGUCCUCCGAGGACUCGGGAGGGGAAGCAGGUGUGAGCCCGCAGCACAGUCGCCACCCCAGUCCCGGGCUGCGGGUUUGCGUCUUGACCCUGGGUGGUACCGACCGCACACGUGUGACCGCUACAUGGAGGAGAUACAAGGUACUCAUCACUGCUGAAAGAAAGAGGACAAUCCAGAUGGAACUGCC